GAUGAACGCUGGCGGCGUGCCUAAUACAUGCAAGUCGAGCGAACAGACGAGGAGCUUGCUCCUCUGACGUUAGCGGCGGACGGGUGAGUAACACGUGGAUAACCUACCUAUAAGACUGGGAUAACUUCGGGAAACCGGAGCUAAUACCGGAUAAUAUAUUGAACCGCAUGGUUCAAUAGUGAAAGACGGUUUUGCUGUCACUUAUAGAUGGAUCAGCGCCGCAUUAGCUAGUUGGUAAGGUAACGGCUUACCAAGGCAACGAUGCGUAGCCGACCUGAGAGGGUGAUCGGCCACACUGGAACUGAGACGCGGUCCAGACUCCUACGGGAGGCAGCAGUAGGGAAUCUUCCGCAAUGGGCGAAAGCCUGACGGAGCAACGCCGCGUGAGUGAUGAAGGUCUUCGGAUCGUAAAACUCUGUUAUUAGGGAAGAACAAAUGUGUAAGUAACUAUGCACGUCUUGACGGUACCUAAUCAGAAAGCCACGGCUAACUACGUGCCAGCCGCCGCAGUAA
rnacentral:rRNA from 1 species